AAUGAACGUUGGCGGCGUGGAUUAGGCAUGCAAGUCGUACGGACCAGUUGUAGCAAUACCGCUGGUUAGUGGCGAAAGGGAGAGUAACGCGUGGAUUAUCUGCCCUCGGGUUCGGGAUAGCUGCGGGAAACUGCAGGUAGUACCGGAUGACGUCUACGAACCAAAGGUGUGGUUCCGCCCGAGGAUGAGUCCGCGUCCUAUCAGCUUGGUGGCGAGGUAACGGCUCACCAAGGCUUUGACGGGUACGGGGAGUGAGAGCUUGCCCCCGCUCACUGGGACUGAGACACUGCCCAGACACCUACGGGUGGCUGCAGUCGAGGAUCUUCGGCAAUGGGCGCAAGCCUGACCGAGCGACGCCGCGUGUGGGAUGAAGGCCUUCGGGUUGUAAACCACUGUCAGAGGGGAGGAAGGCCCUGCGAAGAGCAGGGUUUGACCUAUCCUCAGAGGAAGUGUGGGCUAACUUCGUGCCAGCAGCCGCGGUAAUAC
rnacentral:rRNA from 1 species